rnacentral:lncRNA from 1 species
UCACCGCAGAGUUUCUCUGAGUAAAACCGCAAUAGUUAGUGAGCAAAGCAAGCUGCGGUGUUGAUUGGCUUCGUGUGACCCGAGGGCAGGAGCAGUGCCAGGUGCUCCUGAGAGGUGUUCAGAACCAAGGCUGCAGUGAAAUCCCAUGAUGCAACAGGGCGAGCAUUGCCAGAAAUACCUUGGAUCCUUGGUCAUUUCGUUUUGAAUUGAUUUUUGGCUGUUGGAUUCUCACACACACACACACACACACAGAGACACACACACACACACACUUUUUGAUAACUCCAGCAUUUAGUUACAUUAUGUCAUGCUCAGUCAUUGUGCACUGUUUAAUCAGUUUACUGGACCACAUGUAUUUUAUAAUGGCCCCUGACUUCCUUUGCCCAUCUGAAGGAAGUGCAAGAUCAAGUCACAGUUAAUUCAGGGUGUCCUGACCGCCCGGUUCUGAUCCAUAGUCUUUGUCUUCACAUGGUGAAAGGGUCAGGGGCUUCUUGAAAUUUUGUUUUAUGAUGGCUGUCAUGGUCACUGUCCCAAAGUCCUAUACCCCAGUAUCAUCAAAUCGAGCAUUAGGUCUUCGAUACAUGCAUUUGAGAGACAGACAUUCAGAGCACAGCAAUCACAUUCCUAGAGACCUGAUAGGCUACACGCUUUGGAGACCGCCCACCCCGUAGCUUGGAUACAAGUUAUCCUGGAUAACUUGUACCUUGAAUGCAGAGCUGAGGAUGACAGCUUUGAGACUGCCUCUGUUGGUUUUUUUUUUUUUUUUUUUUUUUUUUUUUGGGUGCAUAUAGGGUGACAAAUUAGGAAGGGUGCGCUCAAAGGUUAUUCAAAUAUUUCAAAUAAAGCUUAUUUGAGUGUGGAAAGGCCAGAGAACAUUAAUCAAAUGUCAGCACCAAGACACUUUGUCUGCCGUUUCUGCCUUGUGUUUGCGGAACAGCCCUCUGGCUUAGGUUCCCGAUGAUUGCUCCGCUGUGACGGCGUUCCCAGAGCAUUCUGCACGGAGGUGAUGCUUCCGGAGUACACUCAGGGGGGUUGGAUAGCAGUGCCAACUGACAGGGCCAGAGUCUGUGAACACCACGGUUCCUCUUGGGCAGUUAGAUUGGAAGCGGGGCAAAUAUUUUGCAUAAAAAAGAUUUUCACAGAGUAAUGACUGAAACGGUAACAUUCAGGUGGAGGGUGUCUGUCAUCAUCACAAAGCAGUGGUGUGCAGGACUCAGGGGCCAACUGGCUGUUUUCCACAGAGGCCUUCUCUCCUCCAGUGUUGAGGCCUCUGUCCUCUCUACUCCAGUCUCCCAGGCUUUCUUCUGGGAGAAGCCACACGAGCAGUACAGCCUCUCUCUCCUCAGCAACUAUCAAAACAGUGCAGCCGCCCCAGUCACAAACUCAAGAGUCUUUUGACAGCAGCAAUUAAGCAACUUAAUUAAUGAGUGAAUAAAAAUGAUAAUAUUUACUGAAUGGGAGCGUCCUGUUUUGCAUUUUUAUUCAAACUCUGCACCUGAAGAACACCACUGAGGAGCAGCACUCGUGCCCCCCUGUUGUGGAAACGCUCUUGCUCUCUCUCCUCUUGCCAAUGUCUCUCUGUCCUUUCCGCUGACUGUGCCUCAUCUCCGCCCUCUCCCCUGAGUCCUUUGGUUUGGAUUUCAUGAGCAUGCCAAGGAUAGGGUGCACAGAAGGUUCACCCACUUCCUGUUUCCAGGGAGAGUGAAACCCCAUUCUUGUCACAGGCUUCCUUUGCCCCUAAAAACCCCAUCCAGACCUGAGAGACAAUUUCACGAUACUUUUCCAAGGCUGAACUUUACAUCAAAGUGGGUGAUUAAUUACUGAUAAGGGUACAAUAAAACAUUAAUGCAUUUUGUAAUUAACCAGCUUAGGAAUGACAGCUCCCACCUCCUCAUGAGUGACAUGUUCACAGGUUCACAUGCACAGGAGCACACAGGCAUAAGCUAUCUCUCUCUCUCUCUCUCUCUCUCUCUCUCUCUCUCACACACACACACACACACACACAACUUUAAAAAAAAAUCCUUAUUUGGCUAUUCAUCUCAGCGGUGCCCCCAAUACAUUAUAUUCUUUUAAAAAGGCACAUAUAUUUUUUCCUCAAUGAAAUAUAUAAUCCAUCUCGAGUGUAAGGAAGGCCCCAUACAUAAUUAUUUCGUCGUGACAGACAGUGAGUUUUCCAGCUAUUAUUUUUGACGGUGCUGUCAUGGAUGCCAAAUGUAUAUUAUGGUGGGAGCCAGCCAAAGUCGGAAACCCACCUGGAGAGCAGGCUCCUUUUUUCUCCCCAGAAAGGUUCCCCAGUUUGACAGGCCACCAUUCCGGUUAAGCUUAAUUAGUCAAGAGAGAAAAAUAACUGACUUCAGAGUGUUACGUUGGGGGCUCCCCAUCCCCCCUUCCCACUCAAAACUUGACAUUCUUUGGAGAAGAUGAAGUUCCAAAUGGGAUCUGUGUUUCUAGCUUCUCAUCGUCCUCAUGAGGGACCCACUUCACAAGGCCCGGCUUCGUUCUCCUUCCCCCUGCCUUGAGGCACUCCACAGAGUUGGCCAGAGAAGCCUAGAGUGGAGUCUGCGCCCAUGGAAGCAGCGCCGCAACAUUCCUUGGGAACUCAUUUAUUUCAGGAUGGGAACAGGUAGGGUGUGGGUAGACUGCAGGAAGAUAUCAGCCUGCUGGCAGGGUGCAGGAGAUGUGUCCCGCUAAGAGUCGAUGACUCUUCUGGUUCUUGGAAUAUGCCACCGAGAUGCUGGACCUUGGCCUCGUCACUCAUCCUGCAUUCUGUACUAUGGGGUCAGGACCAAGUUUGACAUAAAGUGUGUCUGCCUGGACACAUGCUCAAGAGCACGUGUGCAUAUGUGUGUAUGAGUGCACAUGCUUAACAUGUGUGUGCACACAUGUAUCAUAUGCAUGCACAGUAUGCACUCACAUGCACACGUGACUCAAAAACAUGUCAGAAACCAUAAAAGAACACCCUGUGUGAUAAGCAAAGCCAACCUUGAAGUCUCUCUACCCAUAAUUCUUGAUCUUUUGGCCUCUGCCUGGGGACACUGAGGACAUCACACUUGACUUCUGGAAAGCUUGGUGUACAGCAUCAGACAUUUGGUGCCUGGGGCUCUUUUGCAUGGAAGUGUGGUGUUGGUCUCCUACCCAGUGCAUAUGCGUAAAAAGCACUUAGUGGUGCUCCUGGGAAAGCCUCCCAUGAAGCAAUCCAGUCAUAAAAAUGAGGACGCAGGAAGGUUUCGGGCUGUGGUGGAGGAAGUGAGACCAGAGCUCCUACGCCGAGUUUCUUUUCCUUUCUGAGUUUCUGGUUCAUUUCCAACCUCAAAUCUCUUCACACAUAUUGACAUCUCUGGUUGAAUGUCUGUGCCUCCUGUCAGACAGCAGACACUCAGAGCCACCAUCUCUGUUACCCUGUGACCUGGCAGAGGGACAGCCACAUACUCACCGAGAGGUGGUUGUGGAGUAGAAGACAGCUGUGGAGAUUGGGGAAGUAGGUGGAAGGUUAACAGACCUUCAAAGGGGAGACCUUAGCUGAAGGGGAAUGCUGAACUCUUCCUGGAGACCCUGCAGACACAUCUGUGGGCGUGCAGCCAUGUUCCGGUCAACUCUGCUUCCUGUGUCUCUGUCACUCAAUCCAUUAAGUCUGGGGAAGAACGGGUGGCUUCCCAUGGGGGAACUCCUGAUCUAAGGGGACAAGAAGGGGUGAAAUCCGGGAUGGGGAAGGCAGUCCAAGAGAGUACUCUACUUGUGCAGAGUUGCCAGAAGGGCCAGUGUGUGGGGUUUGGUGUCCUCACCAGAGAGAGCCUUAGAGCUUCCAAGGGAUUAACGCACAUUCUGCCUUUGUCACCUAUCAGCAGAAAGUUCUAGGUGAGCAAGAUGUCAAGUACCGGAAGCAUAGAUACACCAGAAGACGUGCAGGAAUGUACAGUGACUCAAACCAGAGGAAUUUCCAUGAGUGGACGUCCUUUCACAACAAGCAAGAUUCCUGUGUGGUCGUUGUUGCUGUCACCUGGGUACCCGGAGGAACAUGUUAAUCCCAGACAGGAAUGAUGUCAUCCAGUGUUUAUAAAGUGCAUUCCAGCCCCAGACAACCGUCUUCCACCUGUGACUCCCUUUACAGAGGACUGUACUUCCUGCCAACUGGGCUGCGGUGCCCUGCCUCCGGGCUCUCCGCACUCACCCUUGCCUGGCAGGUCUGGAAGGACUCAGGGCUAUUUGGUUCUUGGAGCGACCCUUUGACUGCAUCUUCUCACCACCACCUCCUCAGCGGUUAUUUUAGUCAAGCGUUAUAACCAGGAUGAAGGUGCGUGUUACUGAUGCCACGUUCCUUUUCUACUCUGUCACUGCUCAGUGCUGUGCCCUCCCCCAUGGCCUUGCUGUCUCCCCUUGAGCCUGUCCUAAAAGUGACAGCUGGAUCCUGGCUGCAGCUCUCAUCAGCAACUUGAUCUCGGUGGCCCUCUUCCUGCCCAUACAGGUGUGUGCCUGGAUUUCAGGUCACCUUUCACCCUGAGCUGGGAAGCCAACUCACACCUGCCAUCCUAGGCCACCGAUGCUGUGCGCCCUCUCACCUGGUCUGUGCGUCAAGUUACCUGAGAACAGGAAGCCCCGAACCCCUCCCUCUCCUCCCUGCCACCUGCUAACUAAUGAGUGACAUCAUUUAGCACUGUUUUGAAACGAGGGAUUUGAAGUUGUUUUGGAAACUGAAGGAGAAAUACAAAUGUUUGCAUGUUAAACAUUUCGCCCAAAUGCUAGAAUGUGAGUGUCUCUUUAUUGUGACAGUUCUGGGGGAGAGUAAGCUCCAGGUUGUCAGUGAGCAUCCUCGCACAGGGGUUUGACACUCGGCAUGGCAGUGGGAGGCAGCUUAAAAAUAGUUUAAAGAAAGAGAAGUGUUCAAGGCUUUUCUAACCGUCUCGGGUCAACAGUCUGCCUUCUAGUUUAGUGUUUUAGUGAAAAUGAAAUUCUACCCAUAUGCAUCCUAUAAUGGU